AAAUUAUCGAACUUUUUAUCUUUCGAUACAAUGACUUUUAUACCCUUCUACGAUUAAACUUUUAUUCUGUGGGCUGAAUUCAGGCAAAAAUCAGACAGAAUUUGGCUUAAUGUUAAAGACUGUUGUGCAAAUACCCUUUUAUAGCAGGAGUGAGCAGCUGCAGCUUUUUAAUUUAUUUUUCGUUAUUUGAUUUAUUUUCUUGGAUUGACUGGAGUCUGGUGUCUGGAGCUUUGUGGUUAACAGUGAACAUGUAAACGUGUAAACACAAGUGGUCUUUUGCCUCUUAUUUGCGAAGCUGGCAGCUGGUUGUAAUGAUAGGACUUUAUGGCUUGCCCAAAGUGGGAUUUUUGAUAGAGCAUAGGGUUAACACCUCACCAUACACUUGCUAUUUCAGCGAACAAGUGUCUGUAGUCCGUUAUUACCCAUGACUUUCUUUCAAAUUUCACAAUUUAGGCAGCUUGUAGAGUCAUUAGGAAGAUGCUUAAUCCCAAUGUCUUGGUUGGUUGCAUGAGAAACUGCUAUCUCUUAGAUGUGUUGGCGAAGUUCCUCCUCUGAUUUUUGUAGACUUGCCCUUAAAGUGGUUUCUCUCUGCUUUAACUCUUGUUGAGCUAUGCAUUAAAUGAUUCCUCCAACUUGUCUCCAUAUCAAUUUUUUCUCUCCCUGCAGCCUUCCACCACCCACUGCUGCUGUUGCAUCUGAUAAAGGUAGCCGUAUCCUGAUUCACUGCGUCUUCAUGUGUUGGGUAAGAAGUGUCAUUAGACUACUAACAAUGUGAACACCUUGUAAAUGCUUGAUCUAAUUUACCCAAAUGGUUCAUCAGUUUAGGACAGAAAAUCAUUGAAUUUGACAUUCUUGGGGUCAGUAACCUGACCUCUAAAUGUUUGGGAAACCAUGCAAAAGAUCGUAAGCUCUCUGCAUGACCCAACAGCAUCGAUGUUUGAGUUAUUUAAUUGCUCAAUUUUUAAAUCAGUCAAGAUUUUAUGAGCUGGGUCUUCUUCACACAACAGAGAACAAGGUAAAUUGAGUCGACUCGUAACAUGGUAAGGCAUUUCGUCUUUCCCCUUCUUCUCUUUGUGUGAGGAAAUCUGGCCACGGAUCCUGACUGAGUGGCAUACCAUGGCUGUGCAGUUUCCAAAAUCAGACAAGGAUCCAUCUGAUUUUGUGACUCGGCUUGUCAUGAUAUGCACGUAUCUUCCUCCGAAACAAAGGAUUGGAAUGGACAGGUUUGUAGUGUAAAUCACAUCACAUCACUUGUAGAUGGUGAAGCAUUUGUUUAAAUUGGGGUCAAGCAUUUUCAGGUGUCUGCUUUGUCAAUACUCUGGUCCCACAUCUUGCUAAACACAUGAGAAGCUCUGAAUUGUGAAACUGCUGCCUCUUGCAGAUGUUACAACAGCAAUGGCUGUUAAAAGGCUGCAGGGAGAGAAAAUGAGAUCUGAGGACAGGAAAGUGGAAUUGAUUUCAUGCUUAGCAAAAUGAGGGUUUUAGCAGAGGACCUUUUUGUGCUGGGGCUACAGAAUCAGAAGGAACGUUUGUCUGGGCAACUGGGAAAUUUACAGUUUUUUAUGCAGCCAACAAAGACAUUGGGGCUAGCAUCUUCCCAAAUGGCUGGCAAAGAUUGCUUGUAACUGUCAGUGUAGAACAGGAAAGGGUAUAGGUUAGGGAGGGCAUCCAUCGGUGAGUUCUGACUGGAUGUAAGGACCUGUCACACUUGACCAGAGAUGAAGGCUGCAGCACAUUCCUUGAUCAGAGGACUCCAUGUUGGACACCACGACCUGGAGAAGUCCCGUCCUGGGUGGCUGCGGUGAUCACCUCGCCCAAGAUGAACCAACCCUUCUAUGAUGAGGACUUCGCCCAAGAUGAACCGACCCUUCUAUGACGAGGACUUCGCCCAAGAUGAACCGACCCUUCUAUGACAAGGACCUCGCCCAAGAUGAACCGACCCUUCUAUGACGAGGACUUUGCCCAAGAUGAACCGACCCUUCUAUGACGAGGACUUCGUCCAAGAUGAACCGACCCUUCUACGAUGACGCCUCUUUUCCACGGGAUGUCUUCAGAUGUUGGACCUUGCCAAACUGUACACAUGCCUCAAUGGCUGCUACGUCACUCUGCCCAACAGGACAUGGUCACCGAGAUUUUUUUUUUUAAAUGGACUUUAACCCCCCCUAUCCCCACUGACCCAUUAAUUUAAUAUUAAUGCUGACUUGUCUCCCUCUGCCAAGUUUAUUUCCCUCUAAAGGAGUUGAACCUUUUUGUGUUCAUAGUCUUUUUGCGCGUCAUGUUGGGAGGCCUCCCAGCAGGGGAUUUUCAUCUUCCCCUGCAAAACUAUGCGUUACUCGCCUUAGGGAUGCAGGGCUAUCCUGCAUAGUUUCUUUCAUAAAUGAGAUUGUAGGUUGCAGGUUUAGAGCGCGUUUCUUUUCUUUAGGAGGACACAAACCUGGCAGAGAGACAACUCGGAUUAUUUAAGUGAAAGUUGCACCAAAUGUUCAAACUUUUUGUCUCUCUUGAAAUAAAACCUUUGUUCUGUGGGCUGAAUUCCAGGAGUCAUGAUGUUUAGAAAAUCAAACAAAUUUUGGCUUCAUGUUAAAGACUGUUGUGCAAAUACCCUCUUGUAGCAAGAGUGAGCAGCUGCAGCUUUUUAAUUUAUUUUUCAUUAUUUGAUUUGUUUCUUGGAUUGACUUGGUGUCUGGAGCUUUGUGGUUUACAGUGAUCAUGUAAACGUGUAAACACAAGUGGCCUCUUAUUUGCAAAGCUGGCAGCUGGUUGAAAUGAUAGGACUUUAUGGCUUGCCCAAAGUGGGAUUUGUGAUAGAGCAUUAGGGUUAACACCUCACCAUACACUCGCUAUUUCGGCGAACAAGUGUCUGUAGUCCAUGAUGGACACCAUGACCUGGAGAAGUCCCAUCCUGGAUGGCUGUGGUGAUGACCUCGCCCAAGAUGAACCGACCCUUCUACGAUGACGCCUGUUUUCCACGUGAUGUCUUCAGAUGUUGGACCUUGCCAAACUAUACACAUGCCUCUGGCUGCUAUGUCACUCUGCCCAACAAAUGGACUUUAACCUCCCCCCCCAUCCCCACUGACCCACAACCACACAUGACAAAACACUGUACAUGUACACCACACUGUAAUGUUUGACAUUGAAAACUUGUAUUUAUUGCCUUCUUUAUAUCAAGUAAAACUUUUGUUCUUAACGGUU